CACGUAGGGGGCAAGCGUUGUCCGGAUUUAUUGGGCGUAAAGAGCUCGUAGGCGGCUCAGUAAGUCGGGUGUGAAACCUCCAGGCUCAACCUGGAGACGCCACCUGAUACUGCUGUGGCUAGAGUCCGGUAGGGGAGCGUGGAAUUCCUGGUGUAGCGGUGAAAUGCGCAGAUAUCAGGAGGAACACCAGCGGCGAAGGCGGCGCUCUGGGCCGGAACUGACGCUGAGGAGCGAAAGCGUGGGGAGCGAACAGG
rnacentral:rRNA from 1 species